UUAUCUCCAUUCGAAUAAUAGAACACCACUUACGACUCACAAACAAUCACCGCAUUUAAACAAAAUUAAUACAUCAUCGGCCACGUAUGUACAAUGCACGUGUACGAGGCUAAUACAAAAUUUUACUUGCCAAUUUCGCGACCAAAAAUCUGUACGUUCGAAUUAACUAAAAGAAUGAUCGGAGGACGAAUUCUUUAUGGAAGCAAGAGAUCCUGGAUGAAAAAUCGAACGUUCUUACACGUUUCGAGAUUUGCACUCUGUGUAUCAUUCGCAGAUACUUAGCAGAAUGCGACAUUCCAAUGACGAUUGAGAACAAAAAUAAAAAUUCACUGGCAACGUUCGCAGGCCAUGUUCGCAGGCCAUGUUCGCAGAUUAGGUAUGCACGUUGGCACGUUCGCAAGUCACAUUCGCACGCUCGCAGGCCACGUCCACGGACCAAGUUCAUAGGCCAUGUUCACAGAUCAUGUUCGCACACUAGAUACGCACGUUCGGAGGUCGCAUUCGCGGGCAACGUUCGCGGAACAGGUUUGCACGUUCUGAAGCCACUUUCGCAGGUUUGCAGAUCACAUUCUGACGUUUCGCAGUGCGACGUUUCAACGAGGAUCGAGGGCAAAGAUCAAAAGAUGGAUACAAUGUGUAGCUUUCCCGAAAUUCGAUAUCAGGGGAUGCGAGGUGUUUUCUCUGCUCCCUGGCUCAGUUGAGAUGUCUUGAAUGGCUACCUCUUUGUCUAACUACACGCGGUGACGUUUAAGUAAAUAGCGCCGAUGCCAGGAACAAUCUUACCGUUCUUUCGUAAGUAUCACGCAGAAAUCAUUUUGUUUCCCUUCCUUCCCUUUGUUUCGUCAGAUAUUGUGCCGGCAUUUGAUAAAGAACAGAAUUUUUGUGUUACUUUAAAAAUUUUCUUAGGAUAGGCGUCAAAAAUUCACUCUUCGAUCAAGUCGCGGUUACGAGCGAAUUUCACUAAAAAAAUUAACAUCAUACAGCGUAACAGUUUGUAGCAGAACAAAACUUACAUAGCAAUGUAAUACGACAUCUUGUCGACACGGAACGAUAAAAAUUACAGUCGCGAUUUCGACCAUUUCUUUUUUUAUCCUUUAAAGAAGGAAAGGGACUUUUUAAUUGGAAAUUCAAAUUAUACGCGUCUUUCUAUUUAACGAGAAUUGACAAACAAGAAUACAACUAUCGAGCGAUAGAUUCUGAUGUACAAAUGAUCCUUAUUAAUCCUCUAUCGAUCAUUGAGGGAAUUAUUGCUCACAUUUAUUAUUUACUUACAUAUUAUUUACUCAAAGACCGAUGAUAUUCAUCGACUAAUAAGAUCAAGAUCGAACAAUGUUUAUUUCGUUUUUUGUCGACUGCAUUCCGCACUGUGCUUGUGGCCGAAAGUGCACUCGCACGGAGGAUUGCGAGAGAGAAACGAUGUCCCGUAGUGGGUUUGCUACUAUCAUCCAAUUUACAAGCGAACCGUGUGCAGCGGUUAAUAGCUGCCGGAAUAAUGGGCAUCGCGCAGGUAGUGAUGGGAUCGAAACGAACAUACAGCAACCGUAAAUCUUUCGGAUAAUAAAAGUUUCUUUCACUUCUGUCAUUCGUCUAAGACGCCGUUUCUUUUGUUCUUUUUCUUUUAUAUCCCUACGUCGCGGAGAAACAGAUUUUGCGAGUAGCCGUAAAGUUUAUUUCUGCGCCUAAAACGACGCGUAUCGUGU
rnacentral:misc_RNA from 1 species